rnacentral:lncRNA from 1 species
UUUGUCCUACGGACGUUUUCUCUGUCAACUUUGAGGGGGGUAUAGUGACGGCUAAUUGUCUGUCACUAUAGGUUUCACCUACUAUGUAUAAUGUGUAGGUUAAAGUCAUUAACUUCUACUUACAUUUCCUAACUGUAGGUAAAAAGUCUUUAAUAUGUAUCUAUCAUCUUCAAUUGUAGGUAAAAGUCAUUAACUUCUACUUACAUUUCCUAACUAUAGGUAAAAGUCUUUAAUAUGAACAUCACUUGAGACCGCAAGAACCUUCUUUCCCAUUAACCGAUGCCACAAAACUGCACUGUUUAGAAACAAGGCCAGAACCUAGGAUUAGAUAUGUUCAAACAUGAUGUAAUAAUCACUAGAAAUCUUCAAGUAAUCUUCAAGGAAAAAAAAGUAUUCUCUUUUUGUUUGUUGCAAUUUUCAAUU